AGGAGGUGUUGGAGCAGCUGCCCCUGCCAAGACAGAGGAUGUGACACGCAUGCACUGGCCUCAGGGCUGAGGAAACUGGCCGUGCUUUCAGGGAGAGUGACAAGGGAGAUGACACAGUGAAGAGUGAGAAAGUGUAAGGAAAGAAAGUUUACCAAUCUCACUCAUAAUCUGAGACUGAUGUCAAAACAAAUGUCUGGAGAGAAUUAGUGUAAAACAAGAAGGAAGUGAAUAGGCCAUGUAGUAUUGGAGAAAAUGAGCAAGAGAUCAAGAGGUCGCUCUCAGAGAUGCUACAAUCUCAGGAAUCUCAAACCUCCACUGUAGGGGAACCCUCAAGUAGUCGAGGAUCUGUUGAACAUGAAGGCUAGAAGCUGGGCACUGCUCAUACUGGAAGGAAGGCAGAAACUUGGCAAUGACAAGUAGGACUGGCACAUCUUAUGACAGAUAUGUGGCCCUGGAACUAGGACAGUCAAUUGAUAAAGUGGAUGAAGGUCCUUCUGGGACAAAGAGCCCAUUUAGGGCAGUACAAUCUAACCCCUCCUUCCAAACUCUAUUAAGAGCAAAAGAACGGUAUUUAUCAGAGGCAGCUUCCUUCUAGUGGAAGAAAGUGCCCAAUAUGCAAACCAGAUGCAGCCAACAGGAAAACCUUCUCCCUCCCUGGGGUUCUGGUAAGAGAUAUUACUAGAGAGCUCUCCAGCCUAAUAAGGUCCUCUAAUUGUUAUCCAUUAUUAGUUCUUCAAGUCAGUGGUGGUAAGUUAACAAAGAGAAGUCUGAGGGCAAUCAAAGUGGAUAUUGUAUAUCCAUCAGGUCAAUGCAUGGCUCUGAGGUUAGUGUCACCGGAAUAAUUUUGGGGUUUUUGACCAUGAGGUAACUAUGCAACACUUGGUUUAAUAAUACGUGAUGGGAUGAAUCUACCUCAGAAGGGAAAGAAAAAUAAUUCAGACACAGGAGUUAGCUGGGCUCAUCGACAAAGCUUUAAACUAGAUUUGAAGGAGGAAGGGACAAACCCAUGCUUGCCAGAGUGGGAAGUCAUCUCAAAACUUGAAGGAGGAAGUGCCAGUGGGAUCUCUCAAGCUGCUCUGUGAGGCAUCAGUUACAACAGACCACACCUGAAAUGUUUCUACAUCAAUGCAGAGUGUGAGGAGCGAAGAGGAGCUUGAGGCUUUGGCCUGGUCCAACAGAUUUUACAUCACUGGAAUAAUUUAAACCCAGUAGGAUGGGCCCUUGACUGGAGUGCCAUGUUGGAUGGUCACAAGUUCUUCAGGAGGGACAGGCAGGGCAAGAG